rnacentral:rRNA from 1 species
GAGACCAGUGGCAAACGGGUGAGUAACACAUUGGUAACCUACCUCUAACACGGGAAUAACUCCGAGAAAUCGGUGCUAAUACCCGAUGUGCUCCGAUAAUUUAAGUUAUCGAAGUAAAGCUCCGGCAGUUAGAGAGGGGCCUAUGUCCUAUCAGCUUGUUGGUUGGGUAAAAGCCAACCAAGGCUACGACGGGUAGCGGGUGUGAGAGCAUGGCCCGCCUCAAUGGGACUGAGACACUGCCCAUACUCCUACGGGAGGCUGCAGUCAAGAAUAUUCCCCAAUGGACGAAAGUCUGAGGGAGCGACGCCGCGUGAAGGAAGAAGCCCUUCGGGGUGUAAACUUCUUUUCUCAGGGAAGAACUAAUGACGGUACCUGAGGAACAAGGGACUGCCAACUUCGUGCCAGCAGCAGCGGUAAUACGAAGGUCUCUAGCGUUAUCCGGAAUCACUGGGCGUAAAGCGUCUGUAGGCGGUUUUAUAAGUCAGAUGUUAAAUAUCAGGGCUCAACUCUGAUGCUGCAUCUGAUACUGUUAAACUUGAGGAUGGGAGAGGCAUGUGGAAUUGCCGGUGUAGUAGUCAAAUGCGUUAAUAUCGGUAGGAACACCAAAUGCGAAGGCAUCAUGCUGGAACACUCCUGACGCUGAGAGACGAAAGCGUGGGUAGCGAAUGGGAUUAGAUACCCCAGUAGUCCACGCCGUAAACGAUGGGUACUAGACAUUGGAAGUAUCGACCCUUUCAGUGUCGUUAAAACAAGCUAACGCGUUAAGUACCCCGCCUGGGGAGUACGACCGCAAGGUUAAAACUCAAAGGAAUUGACGGGAACCCGCACAAGCGGUGGAACACGUGGUUUAAUUCGUAGCUAAGCGAGGAACCUUACCAGGGCUUGAACUAUAGCUGCAAGCUCCAGAGAUGGAGUCGCUUUCGAAGGUGCUAUAGAGGUGCUGCAUGGUCGUCGUCAGCUCGUGGCGUGAGCUGUACGGUUAAGUCCGGUAACGAGCGCAACCCAUAUCCUGUGUUACUUUUUCACAGGAGACUGCCCAGCUUAACUGGGAGGAAGGUGUGGAUGACGUCAGAUCAGCAUGGUCCUUACGUCCUGGGCUACACGCGUGUUACAAUGGCCAAUACAAUGGGGCGCCAAGUCGCGAGAUGGAGCAAAUCCCAUCAAAUUUGGUCUCAGUUCGGAUUGUAGGCUGCAACUCGCCUACAUGAAGUCGGAAUCGCUAGUAAUCGCGAAUCAGCAACGUCGCGGUGAAUACGUUCUCGGGUUUUGUACACACCGCCCGUCACGCCAAGAGAGUCGGUAAUGCCCGAACUACGUUGAGAAACGUAGGAAGGUAGGAUCGACGAUAAGGGUGAAGUCGUAACAAGGCA